UACGGGAGGCAGCAGUGGGGAAUAUUGGACAAUGGGCGAAAGCCUGAUCCAGCCAUGCCGCGUGUGUGAAGAAGGUCUUCGGAUUGUAAAGCACUUUAAGUUGGGAGGAAGGGGCAGUAAGUUAAUACCUUGCUGUUUUGACGUUACCAACAGAAUAAGCACCGGCUAACUUCGUGCCAGCAGCCGCGGUAAUACGAAGGGUGCAAGCGUUAAUCGGAAUUACUGGGCGUAAAGCGCGCGUUAGGUGGUUCGUUAAGUUGGAUGUGAAAGCCCCGGGCUCAACCUGGGAACUGCAUCCAAAACUGGCGAGCUAGAGUAUGGCAGAGGGUGGUGGAAUUUUCCUGUGUAGCGGUGAAAUGCGUAGAUAUAGGAAGGACACCAGUGGCGAAGGCGACCACCUGGGCUAAUACUGACACUGAGGUGCGAAAGCUGGGGAGCGAAACAGGGAUUAGAUACC
rnacentral:rRNA from 1 species